rnacentral:rRNA from 1 species
GACGGACGCUGGCGGCGUGCUUAACACAUGCAAGUCGAGCGGUAAGGCCCUUUCGGGGGUACACGAGCGGCGAACGGGUGAGUAACACGUGGGUGACCUGCCCUCAGCUCUGGGAUAAGCCUGGGAAACCGGGUCUAAUACCGGAUAUGACUCCAUGACGCAUGUUGUGGGGUGGAAAGCCUUGUGCGGCUGAGGAUGGGCCCGCGGCCUAUCAGCUUGUUGGUGGGGUGAUGGCCUACCAAGGCGACGACGGGUAGCCGGCCUGAGAGGGCGACCGGCCACACUGGGACUGAGACACGGCCCCGACUCCUACGGGAGGCAGCAGUGGGGAAUAUUGGGGCAAUGGGCGCAAGCCUGACCCAGCGACGCCGCGUGGGUGAUGAAGGCC